UGGUCCUACGGGAGGCAGCAGUAGGGAAUUUUCGUCAAUGGGCGCAAGCCUGAACGAGCAAUGCCGCGUGAACGAGGAAGGUCUUCGGAUCGUAAAGUUCUGUUGAAGGGGAAAAAGAGCGGAGAGAGGAAAUGGUCUCCGAUUGAUAUUACCCUUCGAGGAAGUCACGGCUAACUACGUGCCAGCAGCCGCGGUAAUACGUAGGUGGCGAGCGUUAUCCGGAAUGAUUGGGCGUAAAGGGUGCGUAGGCGGCCUGCUAAGUCUGGAGUGAAAGGUACCGGCUCAACCGGUGAAUUGCAUCAGAA
rnacentral:rRNA from 1 species